rnacentral:lncRNA from 7 species
AGCCCCAGGUCUCUCAGCCUUUCCUCAUACAGGAGAUGCUUCAGGCCCUUAAUCGUCUUCAUCACUCCCUCCAAGAAUGGCUCUGAACAUUUCAGUCAGCAAUGAUGCCCAUCACUUCUGACCAUCUUUCACAAAAUUAGGUGGAAUUUAGACCACUUUUGUCGGUCACAUCGUUAUGAAAUCAAGUUUGUGACUGUAGAGAGAGCAGCUCUUCACUGUUUGAGUCUUUGAAAAUGCACUUGAGCCCUUCGGAGGAGUAAGAUGAAUGCUCUUCACAGAGUUUGACUUUGCCACCCCCUCUGUCUUCACGCAUCUAUUACACCUUACUGUGGAAAUUAAUCUCUCUAAAAUCCCCCACAGUAAGAGACAAGUAGCUCCAGUAAACCAUUCAGAGGGAAAUAGGUUAACUGCUAGUAACUUGGGUGACUUAGGGAACGAAUCUUGUCCCUUGGUUCUAAGAUAGGCUAUCAGCCUUUAAAGCUGACAUAUAUCACACCAGGAUGGCUUUGUGAGAGAUCUGGCAGUUUCAGAUUGGAAGGUGCCCUCACCUUAAAUUACAUUUCAACCUAUAUAUUGAAGAGUUACUUACAUUUCACGCAGCCUAUGUCAUCUUUGGAUUUCUGCCCACAGCACUUGCAUUUCUACUUCUGUGUUUUCAGAGAGCGUUUGAAAACCAAAGUCAAAGCGUGGGUGAAGGCACCAUAUGCAAACCAAGGUGUUUUUACUUGAUCUUAAUGUGUGACAAUAAUGAUUCAUGAGUUCUUCAGCCUUCUUGAAUUGGCUGAAGACCAAGUUUUGCCAUGUGUUAAGGUUCAUAAAUCUUUAUGCUCUGAAACAUUUUUUUUUUUCAUGUUUCCAUAUUCCUAUGCUCGUGGAAUAGUAGAUGCAUGACAAGCAUUAUCAAAGGUACAAAGCUGCUCACAUAAAUAGAAGUAAUUCAAUAAUCUGCAGCUAAUGAGUCAUACAACAGAGAUGUAGAAAGUCAUGACACAGAAAAACUGAAGACAGAGUGGCUGUCUUUUCUAAUACAAGACCUAAAAUGUACUGAACAAAAUUAUCAAGUAGAAAAUGGAAAACAAAAGUCCUCAGAAUAAGAUAAGGUGCUUGAAGUAUAGCUAAGCUGUGAAACUGUCUUCAGAUGUUAAGGACACUUAAGUUUAGAUCAGUUCAAAAAGAUAUUUUAGGUUGUUUUUUUUUUUUUUCCUUCUCGGAGAACAUGUCUGUUCACAGGUAUUGAAUACUGAGAUAUCACCCCUAGUUCAGAAAGUCUCUGAACCACACUGCCAGAAGCCAUGUGUGAUUGCCAAGGAAGAUGCAUUAUUUGUUUGCCUCAUUCUGACAUUCUUCCUUGGGCAUCUGAUGUUAACUGCAGUUUCAGGCUAGAUGCUGAGCUAAAAGUGCCCUUGCAAUGACUCUACAUAGCUGUUUUCAUUCAUUUUCCUUACUUUUUCCCCAGAUUCUGUUAUAUUCUAUAUAUUUUUUGAUUAAAUGCACUGCAUUACAUUUGAGGCAGGGUGGAAGUCCUCUAGCUAUUUUUUUGUAUCUUAGCGUCAGGUAGUUUUAAGUAUGCAGUGAAGAAUGACUUCUCAUAAGACAGCUCAAACCAGAGCAUGUAAUUUUUCCUUGAAAUGCCACUAAUGUGGUAAUUCCAAAGGAAGUGUCUCUCAGCUGGAGCAAGGAGUUAUGGGGGAAGAGGAAAUAAAAGAAUUUGCUGAAGGCUCUUUGGAAGCAUGGCUAUAUCCAUCUUCUCUGCUCUAUCCUUUCGGGGGACAAAAGCAUUAACAUAAUUUAUGAACAGCUUCAGUAAUUCUCUCACAUAGUAAUGAAUUAGUUUUUUCCUUGAUUAGGUAAGCACCCCCUUGGCAGACAUAAAUUCCCAGAAAAUGGAGUGUAGAAGACAUGAAAAAGUGUUCUAACAAGCACCUGGGUUUGGAACAAGCAGUAUGUAUUAAAAUUAUAAGUAAAAAUAAAAUCUCAGAAAAUAAACAGGAUUUUUUUUUUCUCCUAUCAUAAUUCCCAUAUUCAUUUCAAAUGAUAACUUUUCUGCCAGCUCCACAGACUCUGGCUGGGAGUUUGAACCAGCUCAUGUUACGUAUAACGUUUUUAUGGCAGAGGAACAGUUGUGAAUAUCAGUGCUAAGUGCACUACUUGGCAGGAUGGAGAGAGCGUUGAAUAUUCUGUUACAACUCAUACUGAACAGAUCAGUUCCAGCAGGCCAACUAAUUAACUUUGAAAACCAUUGGACUUACCUGGACAAAAGCGAUUGUUAAGUGCAGCUUAUCUUGGCUGGACAUAAUAUGUUUUCUGACUGAGUGUUGUUGCAUAAAUAAAUGGACAGCAUUUAAAAAAAAAUGGUUGGGACCUUGGCACACUGUACUGUUUGGAUCUCCCAAACAAGACGGUCUUUUGCUGCUGAGGAUUUCCCCUUGCGAGCAUCCUUCCUUGCAAUGAUGCUUUCAGCUGGGUCAGCUGGGACUCUCCAGCUUCUCUGCUUAGUUUUCAUAGCAUGGUUGCGCUGGGGCAUCCUGUGCCACUGCUUUGGCACAUGCAUCAUCCGUUGCUAUAGAUGAUUUUAAACUACAUGUAAAACAUCACAUUAACUGUGUACAAUGAACGUGUUCUGCAUGAUCAUUUGUGCUUCUGCAGAAACUGUUUCCACGGACCAUUUACCAGCAUCCUAUCUGCAUACAGCUUGGUCAGUCCUGCAGCAGUAACAACCAGGAGCCUGUGAAAGGACCAGGUUCUCACCCAGGACGUUAACUGACAAAUUUGAGCAUAGGAUUUUGUCUUGGCUCAGGAGUUGCUGCGUGGGGAGAGUCUUCAGGACUGUCUGAAAUCCCCACCUGAAGUCCUCCUGCAAGCAUGGGUCUGUUACCUUGUCUCACUCAGUCCACUGUCUAUCCCCAGCUGUACCUCACCUGUGCAGCGACGGGCUGAGGAGUUCCUGGGCCACUGGGAGGUAAAUGACUUCAGGGCAACGAGUGUGCACACAGGGACAUCCCUAACAUCCAGCUACACCACAUUAUGGCUUAAAGACAACUUGACUGGCGUCCAUAUGUCUCACAUACAACUUAACAUUCCUCAAUUGCAGCACCUCUGUAAUUGAAAACUGUGCUGAACAGUGUUCACCCGGCUGUGAAAUAAGAUAAGCAACUUGUGAUUGCCUGUGGGAUGCAUUCUGUGUUGUGGCUUAAUUAGGCCCAGGCUUUCCCUGCGAAUGUGGCUGUAAUGCCACACAGAUCAUGUUGGCUUGGUUUCUGCUAUUUAAAAUUGCCAUUGCUCUAUAAAGAAACCUAUUUUCAGGAUACUGUGUUUUUCACUAGAAUAAAUAGAAUUACAUAUUAUUACAUAUUAUAUGUAACUAUGGACUUAAUUGCAUGUUUUGCACUUCUCGAUGUUUUUGCCUAAUUAAAAUCCCUUGACU